rnacentral:misc_RNA from 1 species
CAGCUGCGUUAAGUGGUGUGAAUUGCAGGACACGCCGAGCACUAAAUUUUCGAACGCAUAUUGCAGCUAUGGGCUUUCCCGUAGCAACGUCUGUCUGAGGGUCGGUUGAAUUAUCGACACUCAUAGUAUGGAGUUGGUUCGAGUCGGUCAUUACGUUACCGAACUCGUCCAACGUAUGUAACGUGAUGCACGGCUGAACAUAAGCUCUGUGUAUCGAGACAGCGCGACGUGCUGUUCUCACUAAGGUACGCAAUGGGUUGAUUAGUAUGCCGAGUGCAAAAGCGUUAGACUAAUACAAUGUUUACCAUUGUCGACCUCAGAUCAGGCGAGAUUACCCGCUGAAUUUAA